CCUCGAGUACACUGAGACAAUCCACCUGUUAUUGUGUCCUGGCUGUAUUUAGGUUCCCUUUUAAACUAGAAAAUUAUAUUUUAAAAGACGUUAGACCUACUGUAUAUGUGGCUACGAAAAAAACCCAUAAGGAUGUGAGCAUUAGCUCGACGUAGCCUAAGGGUUAAAAUGAACGCACUCGAACCGGUGUUGGGUAAGUAAACAUCGUUUAAGAAGCAGUGGAUUGGGCCAAUAUUGUGAAGUCGAGGGUUAAAGUGAUGUUUAGUCUGAAAGAGAAGUAAUCAUUUAAGAAUAAUGAUGGUUUUGAACAAGCUUUCUGUUAUUAGUGUUUAGUUGAACUGUUAAAAGUUUGCGUAAGGCGCAUUAAUAUUCUAAUUGAUAUAAGGCUCUAAGGUCAGUCACAGGCUGUCGUUUUCCUGAUGUUUUGCCAUUAAAUUUGGACUGCAAAGUUUUAGGACACUGCACUUUCCAUGGCUGUGAAGUCUAAACAUAGCCUCUGAAAUGAACAAGUAUCUUUUUUGCCUAACCACUGACGGGCUCCAUCAUUGCUUUCGCGGAUGGUUAUUUGUCACUGGAUGUGGGUAUUGUGGUGCAGACUGGCCGCCAUAAAUAGACUUGCUUACGAACAUCUGAUCUCACUGAACAUGGUAAAGUGUGAAAGUCCUGUACAAGAAGACUCGUCUGUUAUCAGGGGUGACUCACUCUUUUCACAGAUAACACGUGCCUUGGUUUGAUUGAUGGUUGGAUAUACCAUCGGGGUACCUCUGCUUACUUAAGAAAUAAAAAGGUACCCAGAUAUCUAAAGCAUAGACAAGCCUACUUCAGUUCAUCAAGUGAAAGUACAGCAAGGUAAGUGUCAAAAUCUCUUAGUCACAAGAUGGAUUUUUGCAGAACAACAGUGUCCAGUUUAUUUGUGACCGUUACAUAAGUAUUAGUAAUCCAUCAUUGCAUGAAUAUACUGUUUGAAUCACUGUUUUGACAAAAAUAAGAGAUUG